UCUUGCGCAAUGGGCGAAAGCCUGACGCAGCGACGCCGCGUGGGGGAUGAAGGGUUUCGGCUCGUAAACCCCUGUUGCCCGGGACGAACUUCUCCUUUCGAGGAGAUUGACGGUACCGGGUGAGGAAGCACCGGCUAGCUCUGUGCCAGCAGCCGCGGUAAUACAGAGGGUGCGAGCGUUGUCCGGAAUCACUGGGCGUAAAGGGCGCGUAGGUGGCGACCCAAGUCACUGGUGAAAGCUCGAUGCUCAACAUCGAGUCGGCCAGUGAUACUGGGUUGCUCGAGCACUGUAGAGGCAGAUGGAAUUCCGGGUGUAGCGGUGGAAUGCGUAGAGAUCCGGAAGAACACCGGUGGCGAAGGCGGUCUGCUGGGCAGUUGCUGACACUGAGGCGCGACAGCGUGGGGAGCAAAC
rnacentral:rRNA from 1 species